AAUUCCGCGAAUCAUCGAGUUUUUGAACGCAAGUUGCGCCCGAGGCUCGUCCGAGGGCAUGCCUGCNUGAGCGUCCAC
rnacentral:rRNA from 1 species